AGCGAACGCUGGCGGCAGGCUUAACACAUGCAAGUCGAACGGGCACUUCGGUGCUAGUGGCAGACGGGUGAGUAACGCGUGGGAACGUGCCUUUCGGUUCGGAAUAAUCCAGGGAAACUUGGACUAAUACCGGAUACGCCCUUCGGGGGAAAGAUUUAUCGCCGAAAGAUCGGCCCGCGUCUGAUUAGCUAGUUGGUGAGGUAAAGGCUCACCAAGGCGACGAACAGUAGCUGGUCUGGGAGGAUGAUCAGCCACAUUGGGACUGAGACACGGCCCAAACUCCUACGGGAGGCAGCAGUGGGGAAUAUUGGACAAUGGGCGCAAGCCUGAUCCAGCCAUGCCGCGUGAGUGAUGAAGGCCUUAGGGUUGUAAAGCUCUUUUGUCCGGGAAGAUAAUGACUGUACCGGAAGAAUAAGCCCCGGCUAACUUCGUGCCAGCCGCCGCCGUAAGAC
rnacentral:rRNA from 1 species